rnacentral:rRNA from 1 species
GUCCACGCCGUAAACGAUGUGUGCUAGUUGUCAGGCUCUUAGAGUUUGGUGACGGAGAGAAAUCAUUAAGCACACCGCCUGGGGAGUACGGCCGCAAGGUUAAAACUCAAAGGAAUUGACGGGGACCCGCACAAGCGGUGGAGCAUGUUGUUUAAUUCGAAGCAACGCGAAGAACCUUACCCACUCUUGACAUCCUCCUUGGGACUUUCAGAGAUGAUUGUCUUCGGUUCGGCCGGGGGAGUGACAGGUGCUGCAUGGCU